GAUGAACGCUGGCGGCAUGCUUUACACAUGCAAGUCGAACGGCAGCACGGGUGCUUGCACCUGGUGGCGAGUGGCGAACGGGUGAGUAAUGCAUCGGAACGUAUACAAUAAUGGGGGAUAACGCACCGAAAGGUGUGCUAAUACCGCAUACGCCCUGAGGGGGAAAGUGGGGGACCGUAAGGCCUCACGUUAAUGGAGCGGCCGAUGCCUGAUUAGCUAGUUGGUGAGGUAAAGGCUCACCAAGGCGACGAUCAGUAGCGGGUCUGAGAGGAUGAUCCGCCACACUGGGACUGAGACACGGCCCAGACUCCUACGGGAGGCAGCAGUGGGGAAUUUUGGACAAUGGGGGCAACCCUGAUCCAGCCAUGCCGCGUGCGGGAAGAAGGCCUUCGGGUUGUAAACCGCUUUCGGACGGAAAGAAAUCGCAUGGGUUAAUACCCUGUGUGGAUGACGGUACCGUAAGAAGAAGCACCGGCUAACUACGUGCCAGCCGCCGCGGUAAAAC
rnacentral:rRNA from 1 species